rnacentral:tRNA from 3 species
GAUAGCUCAAUGGCAGAGCAUCCGGCUGUUAACCGGAGGGUUGCAGGUUCGAGUCCCGCUC